UACAGAGGGGGCAAGCGUUAUUCGGAAUUAUUGGGCGUAAAGGGCGCGUAGGCGGCUUGGCAAGUGGAAGGUGAAAUCCCUCGGCUUAACCGAGGAACUGCCCUCCAAACUGCUUCGCUUGAGACCGGGAGAGGUGAGUGGAAUUCCCAGUGUAGCGGUGAAAUGCGUAGAUAUUGGGAGGAACACCAGUGGCGAAGGCGGCUCACUGGACCGGUACUGACGCUCAGGCACGAAAGCAUGGGGAGCAAAAGGG
rnacentral:rRNA from 1 species